rnacentral:rRNA from 1 species
CACGCCNUAAACGAUGUCGAUUAGCUGUUGGGCAACUUGAUUGCUUAGUAGCGUAGCUAACGCGUGAAAUCGACCGCCUGGGGAGUACGGUCGCAAGAUUAAAACUCAAAGGAAUUGACGGGGACCCGCACAAGCGGUGGAUGAUGUGGAUUAAUUCGAUGCAACGCGAAGAACCAUACCUGGUCUUGACAUGUACGGAAGAACUCAGAGACGAGUUUGUGCCUUCGGGAGCCGUAACACAGGUGCUGCAUGGCUGUCGUCAGCUCGUGUCGUGAGAUGUUGGGUUANNNNNNNNNACGAGCGCAACCCUUGUCAUUAGUUGCCAUCAUUUAGUUGGGCACUCUAAUGAGACUGCCGGUGACAAACCGGAGGAAGGUGGGGAUGACGUCAAGUCCUCAUGGCCCUUAUGACCAGGGCUUCACACGUCAUACAAUGGUCGGUACAGAGGGUAGCCAAGCCGCGAGGUGGAGCCAAUCCCAGAAAACCGAUCGUAGUCCGGAUUGCACUCUGCAACUCGAGUGCAUGAAGUCGGAAUCGCUAGUAAUCGCAGGUCAGCAUACUGCGGUGAAUACGUUCCCGGGUCUUNU